rnacentral:rRNA from 1 species
GCGUGGGUGAUGAAGCUCUGAGGAGUGUAAAACCCUGUUAGGAGGGAAGAAUUCUCGACUUGUCGAGCUUGACGGUACCUCCAGAGAAAGCUCCGGCUAACUCCGUGCCAGCAGCCGCGGUAAUACGGGGGGAGCAAGCGUUGUCCGGAUUUACUGGGCGUAAAGAGAGUGUAGGCGGGAUGGUCAGUCGGCGGUGAAAUCUUUCGGCUUAACCGGAAAACUGCCGCCGAUACUGCCGUUCUUGAGUUCGGAAGAGGGAAGCGGAAUUCCUGGUGUAGCGGUGAAAUGCGU